UGCGCUGGAUUAUGACUGA
rnacentral:snRNA from 1 species